GAUGAACGCUGGCGGCGUGCCUAAUACAUGCCAGUCGAGCGAACAGACGAGGAGCUUGCUCCUCUGACGUUAGCGGCGGACGGGUGAGUAACACGUGGAUAACCUACCUAUAAGACUGGGAUAACUUCGGGAAACCGGAUCUAAUACCGGAUAAUAUAUUGAACCGCAUGGUUCAAUAGUGAAAGACGGUUUUGCUGUCACUUAUAGCUGGAUCCGCGCCGCAUUAGCUAGUUGGUAAGGUAACGGCUUACCAAGGCAACGAUGCGUAGCCGACCUGAGAGGGUGAUCGGCCACACUGGAACUGAGACACGGUCCAGACUCCUACGGGAGGCAGCAGUAGGGAAUCUUCCGCAAUGGGCGAAAGCCUGACGGAGCAACGCCGCGUGAGUGAUGAAGGUCUUCGGAUCGUAAAACUCUGUUAUUAGGGAAGAACAAAUGUGUAAGUAACUAUGCACGUCUUGACGGUACCUAAUCAGAAAGCCACGGCUAACUACGUG
rnacentral:rRNA from 1 species